rnacentral:rRNA from 1 species
GGGUUGUGAGGUUAAGCGACUAAGCGUACACGGUGGAUGCCCUGGCAGUCAGAGGCGAUGAAGGACGUGCUAAUCUGCGAUAAGCGUCGGUAAGGUGAUAUGAACCGUUAUAACCGGCGAUUUCCGAAUGGGGAAACCCAGUGUGAUUCGUCACACUAUCAUUAACUGAAUCCAUAGGUUAAUGAGGCGAACCGGGGGAACUGAAACAUCUAAGUACCCCGAGGAAAAGAAAUCAACCGAGAUUCCCCCAGUAGCGGCGAGCGAACGGGGAGCAGCCCAGAGCCUGAAUCAGUGUGUGUGUUAGUGGAAGCGUCUGGAAAGGCGUGCGAUACAGGGUGACAGCCCCGUACACAAAAAUGCACAUACUGUGAGCUCGAUGAGUAGGGCGGGACACGUGGUAUCCUGUCUGAAUAUGGGGGGACCAUCCUCCAAGGCUAAAUACUCCUGACUGACCGAUAGUGAACCAGUACCGUGAGGGAAAGGCGAAAAGAACCCCGGCGAGGGGAGUGAAAAAGAACCUGAAACCGUGUACGUACAAGCAGUGGGAGCACGCUUAGGCGUGUGACUGCGUACCUUUUGUAUAAUGGGUCAGCGACUUAUAUUCUGUAGCAAGGUUAACCGAAUAGGGGAGCCGAAGGGAAACCGAGUCUUAACUGGGCGUUAAGUUGCAGGGUAUAGACCCGAAACCCGGUGAUCUAGCCAUGGGCAGGUUGAAGGUUGGGUAACACUAACUGGAGGACCGAACCGACUAAUGUUGAAAAAUUAGCGGAUGACUUGUGGCUGGGGGUGAAAGGCCAAUCAAACCGGGAGAUAGCUGGUUCUCCCCGAAAGCUAUUUAGGUAGCGCCUCGUGAAUUCAUCUCCGGGGGUAGAGCACUGUUUCGGCAAGGGGGUCAUCCCGACUUACCAACCCGAUGCAAACUGCGAAUACCGGAGAAUGUUAUCACGGGAGACACACGGCGGGUGCUAACGUCCGUCGUGAAGAGGGAAACAACCCAGACCGCCAGCUAAGGUCCCAAAGUCAUGGUUAAGUGGGAAACGAUGUGGGAAGGCCCAGACAGCCAGGAUGUUGGCUUAGAAGCAGCCAUCAUUUAAAGAAAGCGUAAUAGCUCACUGGUCGAGUCGGCCUGCGCGGAAGAUGUAACGGGGCUAAACCAUGCACCGAAGCUGCGGCAGCGACGCUUAUGCGUUGUUGGGUAGGGGAGCGUUCUGUAAGCCUGUGAAGGUGUACUGUGAGGUAUGCUGGAGGUAUCAGAAGUGCGAAUGCUGACAUAAGUAACGAUAAAGCGGGUGAAAAGCCCGCUCGCCGGAAGACCAAGGGUUCCUGUCCAACGUUAAUCGGGGCAGGGUGAGUCGACCCCUAAGGCGAGGCCGAAAGGCGUAGUCGAUGGGAAACAGGUUAAUAUUCCUGUACUUGGUGUUACUGCGAAGGGGGGACGGAGAAGGCUAUGUUGGCCGGGCGACGGUUGUCCCGGUUUAAGCGUGUAGGCUGGUUUUCCAGGCAAAUCCGGAAAAUCAAGGCUGAGGCGUGAUGACGAGGCACUACGGUGCUGAAGCAACAAAUGCCCUGCUUCCAGGAAAAGCCUCUAAGCAUCAGGUAACAUCAAAUCGUACCCCAAACCGACACAGGUGGUCAGGUAGAGAAUACCAAGGCGCUUGAGAGAACUCGGGUGAAGGAACUAGGCAAAAUGGUGCCGUAACUUCGGGAGAAGGCACGCUGAUAUGUAGGUGAAGUCCCUCGCGGAUGGAGCUGAAAUCAGUCGAAGAUACCAGCUGGCUGCAACUGUUUAUUAAAAACACAGCACUGUGCAAACACGAAAGUGGACGUAUACGGUGUGACGCCUGCCCGGUGCCGGAAGGUUAAUUGAUGGGGUCAGCGCAAGCGAAGCUCUUGAUCGAAGCCCCGGUAAACGGCGGCCGUAACUAUAACGGUCCUAAGGUAGCGAAAUUCCUUGUCGGGUAAGUUCCGACCUGCACGAAUGGCGUAAUGAUGGCCAGGCUGUCUCCACCCGAGACUCAGUGAAAUUGAACUCGCUGUGAAGAUGCAGUGUACCCGCGGCAAGACGGAAAGACCCCGUGAACCUUUACUAUAGCUUGACACUGAACAUUGAGCCUUGAUGUGUAGGAUAGGUGGGAGGCUUUGAAGUGUGGACGCCAGUCUGCAUGGAGCCGACCUUGAAAUACCACCCUUUAAUGUUUGAUGUUCUAACGUUGACCCGUAAUCCGGGUUGCGGACAGUGUCUGGUGGGUAGUUUGACUGGGGCGGUCUCCUCCUAAAGAGUAACGGAGGAGCACGAAGGUUGGCUAAUCCUGGUCGGACAUCAGGAGGUUAGUGCAAUGGCAUAAGCCAGCUUGACUGCGAGCGUGACGGCGCGAGCAGGUGCGAAAGCAGGUCAUAGUGAUCCGGUGGUUCUGAAUGGAAGGGCCAUCGCUCAACGGAUAAAAGGUACUCCGGGGAUAACAGGCUGAUACCGCCCAAGAGUUCAUAUCGACGGCGGUGUUUGGCACCUCGAUGUCGGCUCAUCACAUCCUGGGGCUGAAGUAGGUCCCAAGGGUAUGGCUGUUCGCCAUUUAAAGUGGUACGCGAGCUGGGUUUAGAACGUCGUGAGACAGUUCGGUCCCUAUCUGCCGUGGGCGCUGGAGAACUGAGGGGGGCUGCUCCUAGUACGAGAGGACCGGAGUGGACGCAUCACUGGUGUUCGGGUUGUCAUGCCAAUGGCACUGCCCGGUAGCUAAAUGCGGAAGAGAUAAGUGCUGAAAGCAUCUAAGCACGAAACUUGCCCCGAGAUGAGUUCUCCCUGACUCCUUGAGAGUCCUGAAGGAACGUUGAAGACGACGACGUUGAUAGGCCGGGUGUGUAAGCGCAGCGAUGCGUUGAGCUAACCGGUACUAAUGAACCGUGAGGCUUAACCUUACAACGCCGAAGGUGUUU